CUACGUAGCUCAGAGUUUGAUCCUGGCUCAGGAUGAACGCUAGCGGCAGGCUUAACACAUGCAAGUCGAGGGGCAGCAUGAGACGGAGAUUCGUCGAAGUCUUGAUGGCGACCGGCGCAAGGGUGCGUAACGCGUGAGCAACUUGCCCGUUUCAGGGGGAUAACCGUUGGAAACGACGACUAAUACCCCAUGGUAUAUAAUUGAGGCAUCUCAACUAUAUUAAAGAAUUUCGGAAACGGAUAGGCUCGCGUGACAUUAGCUAGAUGGUGAGGUAACGGCUCACCAUGGCGACGAUGUCUAGGGGUUCUGAGAGGAAGGUCCCCCACACUGGAACUGAGACACGGUCCAG
rnacentral:rRNA from 1 species